GAUGAACGCUGGCGGCGUGCCUAAUACAUGCAAGUCGAGCGAACGGACGAGAAGCUUGCUUCUCUGAUGUUAGCGGCGGACGGGUGAGUCACACGUGGAUAACCUCCCUAUCAGACUGGGAUAACUUCGGGACACCGGCGCUAAUCCCGGAUAAUAUUUUGCACCGUAUGGUUCAAAAGUGAAAGACGGUCUUGCUGGCUGUUCUCGCUGGAUCCGCGCUGCUUUAGCUAGUUGGUAAGGUAAAGGCUUACCAAGGCUACGAGGCAUAGGCGACCUGUGAGGGGGAUCGGCCACACGGGAGCGUAGACACGGACCAUGCGCCUACGGGAGGCACCAGUAGGGAAUCUGCCGCAAUGGGGGAAAACCUGACGCAACAACGCCGCGUGAGUUAUAGAGAUCUUCGGAGCGUAAAACUCUGUUAUUAGGGAAGAACAUAUUUGUAAGGAACUGAGCAGAUCGUGACGGUACCGGAUCAGAAAGCCACGGCUAACUACGUG
rnacentral:rRNA from 1 species